rnacentral:lncRNA from 1 species
GCUUUCUAACAUUCCUUUAACUUGAUCAUGUGAUCACGGUAUAUAUAAUAUGUAAAUUUCAUAUGAUGCUGACAUUCUGAUUAGAUAAUUACUUUUAAGGCUGUUAUCCUCUUUUUGUAAUAUCAACAAAUAAGGGGAGAUAAUUAAGGGUAUAUACCCUUUAAAUCUAAUGACAUUCAAAGAAAACUGUUUAAAAUUACUAAACAUAUCAAACUAGAAUGUUUAUUUAAACCACAUCUGUUUGUAACAUCAUAUUGUGAGAAUU